ensembl:lncRNA
UGCUCUUAUUAUAUAUACUCUUAACUUCAUCUCUUUUUUUAAAGGCACCUAUAUACAUAGAUAGUUAAUAGGUUUAUUAUUACUGUUAGAGAAAGUUUGAAAUAACCAUAUUACAAAUUACUGACUGAAAACUGUACUUAUUGGAAACCCAGACUGUGUAUUGGUGGUAUUGUAACACAAUGAUGCAAUUAGUUUAAUACGUCAUGAAGAUUUCUGUGAAAGUGAAACAACAGAAAGUGCUCAAUGUAAACACAUAUCAGAUGUGCGCCAUCAGGGAGGUGGCUGCAGGUCUGCAUUAAAGCACUGUGUAAAGUCCCAUCUCUUCAUUUCAUUUAUCAGCUUGUAUUUGCAUCACAGGUAAGCUGAAAACUAACAUUUACAACAUCAUAGUUUAUUCUAGAACUUUUCACUAAUCAGACGGUUGCAGAUUCGACUGAGUAUUUCUAUUACCAUUGUUUGUGUAUUGCUAUCAUUGUACAUUUUUCAAUUAGAAUAUAUAUUCCCUCGAAUUUUCUAAUGUUGUUUCUUUUUUGUAAAUAUUCUAUUUGUUUUCUUACAGUGUAAAAAAUUCAUGUUAUUUACUCCUAACAGUGAUGGCAGCAGCAGUUUUGGACAGAAGCAGAGGGGUGGCUGUUUUCAGCAUCAACAAAGGCCUGUUCCUCAUGUCCACCCUGCUGUGUCUGGUUUGCCUUUCAACUUCACUGACAAACAAGAACCAACUGGAACAACUCAGAGAAACCUAUCGGAAAACACAACAACAAAUAGAAUUACUGAAGGCUGAGCAUGAGGAAGAAGUGGCCUCCAUUAAACAGAUGAUGAAUGAAUGCAGUCACGUUAUGGACCCAGUGAUUGUACUGGUGAAGGAAACGAUGCAAGCAUCACGCGAUGAUGAUUUUCCUCCACUAGAUAAAUUUAUGGAGGGCAUUAAAAAUUACAUGAAGAAAACUCAAGCUUACAUUGACAUGAAGCAAGAGGAGUUCAGUGGAAUAAUUGAGGAAAAUGAAAAGAAACUGAAGAAAACUAAGAAAUCAAUUGAAUUUCUUGAGGAACAGGAAGCUCAUUUGUAACUUCCAUGUAAG